UACAGAGGUCUCAAGCGUUGCUCGGAUUCAUUGGGCGUAAAGGGUGCGUAGGCGGCGUGGUAAGUCGGGUGUGAAAUCUCGGAGCUUAACUCCGAAACUGCAUUCGAUACUGCCGUGCUUGAGGACUGGAGAGGAGACUGGAAUUUACGGUGUAGCGGUGAAAUGCGCAGAUAUCAGGAGGAACACCGGUGGCGAAGGCGGGUCUCUGGGCCGAUACUGACGCUGAGGAGCGAAAGCGUGGGGAGCAAACAGG
rnacentral:rRNA from 1 species